rnacentral:rRNA from 1 species
AUCAGCAUGCCGCGGUGAAUACGUUCCCGGGCCUUGUACACACCGCCCGUCACACCAUGAGAGUCGGGAACACCCGAAGUCCGUAUCUAACCGCAAGGAGGGCGCGGCCGAAGGUGGGUCCGGUAAUUGGGGUGAAGUCGUAACAAGGUAUC